rnacentral:rRNA from 1 species
UUUUUUAUGGAGAGUUUGAUCCUGGCUCAGGACGAACGCUGGCGGCGUGCUUAACACAUGCAAGUCGAACGGAAAGGCCUAGCUUGCUAGGUACUCGAGUGGCGAACGGGUGAGUAACACGUGGGUGAUCUGCCUCGUACUUCGGGAUAAGCCUGGGAAACUGGGUCUAAUACUGGAUAGGACCAUGCUUUAGUGUGUGUGGUGGAAAGUUUUUCGGUACGAGAUGAGCCCGCGGCCUAUCAGCUUGUUGGUGGGGUAAUGGCCUACCAAGGCGUCGACGGGUAGCCGGCCUGAGAGGGUGGACGGCCACAUUGGGACUGAGAUACGGCCCAGACUCCUACGGGAGGCAGCAGUGGGGAAUAUUGCACAAUGGGCGCAAGCCUGAUGCAGCGACGCCGCGUGGGGGAUGACGGCCUUCGGGUUGUAAACCUCUUUCGCUAGGGACGAAGCUU